UCCAGCUCCAAUAGCGUAUAUUAAAGUUGCUGCAGUUUAAAAUCUCAUAGUUGGAUCUUGGGAGCGAGCGGGUGGGCGGUCUUUCGCAAGGUGAGCCACUGCCCGUCCCCACCCCUUUGCCUCUCGGAGCCCCCUGGACGCUCUUAGCUGAGUGUCCUGGGGGGCCUGAAGCGUUUACUUUGAAAAAAUUAGAGUGUUCAAAGC
rnacentral:ncRNA from 1 species